rnacentral:lncRNA from 1 species
UGGCGACGCAGGCGGCCAGGCAGCCCCCGGGCUGGGGAAGGGCUUGGUUCCCGCCCUGCCAGCACAGGCCGGCCUGCCAUCUCAGUCAUCCCCCUGCCUCAGCUCUGCCCCUGGGAUUACAGGCCUGGGCGGGUCCCUGCCUGGGGCCCUGAGGCUCAUGAACCCCAGAGCUGAAUCCCUGCAUCCAAACAAAGCCAAGCACCCCCAAACUCGUAACUGUGUGAGGCUGGGGGAUGACCAUGAGUGAGUGUGUGUGAAUAAAAUAAUAAAAUAAAUAAAAUGCAAACACAGCACCAGGGCAGGCGGCCCAGUGUGUGUGUCACAACUGUGUGACUGUGUGAGGCAGGGGGAUGUCUGUGAGUGAUUUUCUGGGGCAGGGUGAUGAUGCUGAUUGAAUGUGUGAGACAGGGGCAUGAAAAUGAGACAGGGGAUGAAGCUGAGUGAAUGUAUGAGGCAGGGGUUUAACUGUGAGUGAGUUUCUGAGGCAGGGGGAUGACAGUGAGUGAAUUUCUGAGGCAGGGGGAUGACUGUGAGUGAUUUUCUGAGGCAGGGGGAUGACUGUAAGUGAUUUUUUGAAGCAGGGAGAUGACAGUGAGUGAAUUUCUGAGGCAGGGGGAUGACUGUGAGUGAUUUUCUGAGGCAGGGGGAUGACUGUGAGUGAAUUUCUGAGGCAGGGGGAUCGCUGUGAGUGAUUUUCUGAGGCAGGAGCAUGAUGCUGAGUGAGUGUCUGAGGCAUAGGGAUGACAGUGAGUGAUUUUCUGACACAGGGGGAUGAAGCAGAGUAACUGUGAGGCAGGGGGAUGUGGCUGUGUGACUGUGUGAGGCAGGGGGAUGAAUGUGUGUGAUUUUCUGAGGCAGAGGGUUGACAGUGAGUGAUUUUCUGAAUCAUGGAGAUGACAGUGAGUGAUUUUCUGAGGCAGGGGGAUGACUGUGAGUGAUUUUCUGAGGCAGGGGGAUGAAGCAGAGUAACUGUGGGGCAGGGGGAUGUGGCUGUGUGACUGUGGUAUGCAGGGGAAUGACUGUGUGAUUUUCUGAGGCAGAGGGAUGACAGUGAGUGAUUUUCUGAGGCAGAGGGCUGACUGUGAGUGAAUUUCUGAAGCAGGUUGCUCACUGUGAGUGAUUUUCUGGGGCGGGGGGAUCACUGUGAGUGAAUGUAUGAGGCAGGGGGCUGACUGUAAGUGAUUUUCUGAGGCAGGGGGAUGUCUGUGAGUGAUUUUCUGAGGCAGGGGGAUGACUGUGAGUGAAUGUAUGAGGCAGGGGCUGACUGUAAGUGAUUUUCUGAGGCAGGGGGAUGACUGUGUGUGAUUUUCUGAGGCAGUGGGAUGACAGUGAGUGAUUUUCUGACACAGGGGGAUGACUGUGAGUGAUUUUCUGAGGCAGGGGGAUGACUGUGAGUGAUUUUCUGAGGCAGGGGGAUCACUGUGAGUGAAUGUACGAGGCAGGGGGAUGACUGUGAGUGAUUUUCUGAGGCAGGGGGAUGACUGUGAGUGAUUUUCUGAGGCAGGGGGAUCACUGUGAGUGAUUUUCUGAGGCAGGGGGAUGACUGUGAUUCAUUUUAUGAGACAGGGAGAUGACUCCCUGUGACUGUUGAGGCAGGGGCAUUACUGUGAAUGAAUUUCUA